rnacentral:rRNA from 1 species
UACAGAGGUCUCAAGCGUUGUUCGGAUUCAUUGGGCGUAAAGGGUGCGUAGGUGGCAUGGUAAGUCGGAUGUGAAAUCCCGGGGCUCAACCCCGGAACUGCAUUCGAUACUGCUGCGCUAGAGUACUGGAGAGGAGAUUGGAAUUUACGGUGUAGCAGUGAAAUGCGUAGAUAUCGUAAGGAAGACCAGUGGCGAAGGCGGAUCUCUGGGCAGUUACUGACACUGAGGCACGAAGGCCAGGGGAGCAAACGGG